rnacentral:rRNA from 1 species
AAGAUUAAGCCAUGCAUGUCUAAGUAUAAACCAAUUUGUACGGUGAAACUGCGAAUGGCUCAUUAUAUCAGUUAUGGUUUAUUUGAUGAUACCUACCACUUGGAUAACCGUGGUAAUUCUAGAGCUAAUACAUGCACUCGUAUCCCGACUUCUGGAAGAGAUGUAUUUAUUAGGUAAAAGCCAACCCGUAGCAAUACGGUCUUUGGUGACUCAUGAUAACUUUGCGGAUCGCAU